UACGUAGGCAGCGAGCGUUGUUCGGAGUUACUGGGCGUAAAGGGUGCGUAGGCGGUUGUUUAAGUUUGGUGUGAAAUCUCCCGGCUCAACUGGGAGGGUGCGCCGAAUACUGAAUGACUAGAGUGCGGGAGAGGAGAGUGGAAUUCCGGGUGUAGCGGUGGAAUGCGUAGAGAUCCGGAAGAACACCGGUGGCGAAGGCGGUCUGCUGGGCAGUUGCUGACACUGAGGCGCGACAGCGUGGGGAGCAAACAGG
rnacentral:rRNA from 1 species